AGUGAACGCUGGCGGUAGGCCUAACACAUGCAAGUCGAACGGCAGCACAGUAAUAGCUUGCUCUUACGGGUGGCGAGUGGCGGACGGGUGAGGAAUACAUCGGAAUCUACUUUUUCGUGGGGGAUAACGUAGGGAAACUUACGCUAAUACCGCAUACGACCUACGGGUGAAAGCAGGGGAUCUUCCGACCUUGCGCGAUUGAAUGAGCCGAUGUCGGAUUAGCUAGUUGGCGGGGUAAAGGCCCACCAAGGCGACGAUCCGUAGCUGGUCUGAGAGGAUGAUCAGCCACACUGGAACUGAGACACGGUCCAGACUCCUACGGGAGGCAGCAGUGGGGAAUAUUGGACAAUGGGCGCAAGCCUGAUCCAGCCAUACCGCGUGGGUGAAGAAGGCCUUCGGGUUGUAAAGCCCUUUUGUUGGGAAAGAAAAGCAGCAGGUUAAUACCCCGCUGUUCUGACGGUACCCAAAGAAUAAGCACCGGCUAACUUCGUG
rnacentral:rRNA from 1 species